CCCUUAGAUGUUCUGGGCCGCACGCGCGCUACACUGAUGCAUUCAACGAGUCUAAAACCUGGUCUGAGAGGGCUGGGUAAUCUUUUGAAAGUGCAUCGUGAUUGGGAUAGAUGAUUGCAAUUCUUCAUCUUCAACGAGGAAUGCCUAGUAAACGCAAGUCAUCAGCUUGCAUUGAUUACGUCCCUGCCCUUUGUACACACCGCCCGUCGCUACUACCGAUUGAACGUUUUAGUGAGCUCCUCGGAUUGUCAGCCUGGCGGUUAAUCCUGCCUGGCUAGCGAAAAGACGAGCAAACUUGAGCGUUUAGAGGAAGUAAAAGUCGUAACA
rnacentral:rRNA from 1 species